UUGAUCGUCGAAGCUUUGUUAAGCAUUGAUUAUACGUUUUCAUUGAAACAAUGAGAGUAUUUUAAACGUUGAACUUUGCUCUAAUAAAAAUUUGCGAUAUACCUGUAAAUUUAACAUUUUAACACAUGUAUACUAGUCAUUCUGCGUAAAAUUGUUAAGUAAGAUUGCAUUAUGUUUUAAACGUGGUUAGGUGAUCUCGAAGAGUGAAUGUAAUAAUCGAACAUCGGUUUAGCCGAGAUCCUCCAACCACUCCAAUCACUCGAUCUUUUGGAAAAUUACUAAUUUUCUCUUGUUGUUGUUCUUAUUCUUCCUAGGAACUUUUCAAUUAGAUUGUUUUCAUAUACUGUUUUGUUUUAGAAGUGGCUCGUAAGAACUUUGUAUUUUGAUCGUUCAACUUUUAUCGCUACAGAUCCAAAUAUAAUAAUCUCUUACAUAAUCAAAUCUCCAUUUGCCACCAUCAUUUGAAAACGUUUGCUAAGCAAUUCGUAAUUGGACAAAUUUCAAGAAAUUCGAUACUCUACUGAAUGCUAAUAAUAUAACACAUAUUCUUCCGAAAUUGUUAGAGAUUUCUCCGCGUGACGUCUCUCUCAUCUCCUGUCUCAUUGGCAUUCAAAUGCCGUAGAUAAAUGUUGUUAACGGCUGAUACUACACACAGACUACACUAAAGCAGAAUGUAUAACAGAAUGCAGUACUUUGAUAUGUCCGGUUAUGACCCGAUGCAGACGAACAAUUUUUAUUCACGUGAUAUCGCUGCGAUCAUAUGUCUGUCUCCGUUGUUCUUAACUGAGGGAACAGUCAAAAACCGUGGAUAUGUCGCUCGUUUGCAUCGGGCCUAAAGUGUUAAAGAAAGAAGCAACAGCAGCAACUGUUUCCAACACAAAAUAAUCUUGCUCUUUGUGUAAAUCAUUCCGACGAACAGUUUUCUCGCACUGUUUAAUCGCGUGACUUUCAAGCUGCGUUUUCAAGAAUGAUACUGUUCUAGUUAUUCUGGUUCGGAACUUAUCUGAAUGGCAGGCUUGUGCAACUGCGUGGCUCCAUCGAAAGUAAUCAUGAAAAGAAGCGAAAAGAAAAAUAAAACAAGAAAAAAAAACAACGGGUGAUGGUUUACGAUCACUAUGCUACACAUACGCGUAAUCUCUGUUCACUACGGUGAUACACACGUUUACGCAAUAUCAGCUGUUUUAAAUAUGGUGUAGAAGUAACGAGCGAAAGCAUAGCGUUGGCAAAUACAAUCAUUUUAUCCCUUU